CACUCCUACGGGAGGCAGCAGUGGGGAAUAUUGGACAAUGGGCGCAAGCCUGAUCCAGCCAUGCCGCGUGAGUGAUGAAGGCCCUAGGGUUGUAAAGCUCUUUCACCGGUGAAGAUAAUGACGGUAACCGGAGAAGAAGCCCCGACUAACUUCGUGCCAGCAGCCGCGGUAAUACGAAGGGGGCUAGCGUUGUUCGGAUUUACUGGGCGUAAAGCGCACGUAGGCGGACUAUUAAGUCAGGGGUGAAAUCCCGGGGCUCAACCCCGGAACUGCCUUUGAUACUGGUAGUCUUGAGUUCGAGAGAGGUGAGUGGAAUUCCGAGUGUAGAGGUGAAAUUCGUAGAUAUUCGGAGGAACACCAGUGGCGAAGGCGGCUCACUGGCUCGAUACUGACGCUGAGGUGCGAAAGCGUGGGGAGCAAACAGGAUUAGAAACCCCAGUAGUCCCA
rnacentral:rRNA from 1 species